GUGCAGUGUACGGAAUUUCGUCUCUUUAAACUCCAUGUGGUUCUGCCCCGGUAAACGGGACGCGUCCAUCCCCGGCUCGCACGCUCCCUUACAUGCUCAAUCCACACAGGAAGAAGCAGAAGUUUUAGCCAUCUUCCCAUGGCAUCUGACUUUUUUGAAGAGGAGCAGCAUAUUAAAAUGUGAAAGCCUAAGACUAAUCUGCUUUUCAACCACUUGAUGGAAGGGAAAUAAGAAGUUUGUUUCAAGGCUCUUGUGUCAUUCAUCAGUGCUGUUAACAAAUGUGGGGCUUGAGGAUACAUUUGCUGCUUCUCUGCAUUUUUGCUGAAGGAAGGACCUUUCUGUCUCCCAGCUCCUGUGGGCAUUAGGUUUCAUGAAUAUCUCUUGAGAAGAGGACAGCUCUGUAGAGCCUAAGUUUCAAAAAUUGCACCCAGGAGAGAAACAGUGAGAUGCACAGUGGGGAAAAUGAACCCAGCAGUACAUCCUAUCCUGUACCUGCCUGAAUAUGGGAAGAGACCUAGUACAAGGCAGAAUGCAGCGCUGGGCUUGCAGUAUUUUUAACCAUAUUAAGUCCUGUUCAGAGUUAAUGAUGAGCUCAGUGAGAUGGUCUCAGAAAUGCUGAAGAAGGGAAGGACAGAGCUGGAAGGCAGGAGCUGUUUCAAAGCAGGAUUCUUCAUCUUUCUGUAAUGCCCAAGCAUGAAGACGUUAUAAACUUCAUUAGAUCCUGCCAUCAAUGACUGAUCCUCCCUGAAAUCUUAUCAGUUACUGCCAAGAUGAGAAGGAUAGCAGGAAGGAGGAGUGCUUAAGUGGCUUUAAUGACAGUUAAUUUCUUCUAUUUUAUCAAAUGACAGGUUGUUUUUUUCUCAAAACUCAAUUGUCAUGACAAGAUGCUUUUGGAAGUCGUCUUUGUAAAAUAAAACUGACAAUUUUUAGGCUACAAAGAGCUAUUGUAUCUUUCUAUUGAAUGUUGUCAUUAUGGUAAACUGCUGGAAAGUCUUUAUUUUUGAAGUAAUUUAACUUGCAUACUUCAUUCAUUUAUUUUAAUAUCUGUUGAAUGCCAUGUGAAAAGUUUCUUGCCAGAAUUCUUUUAUUCAAUGGAAUAGUUAUUGUUACAAUACUCAGUUUAUUAAUGUCUAAAUUACUGUUGCCCCAGCCUCCUGCAAAAAUGUUUUUAGUAAUUCUUAAACAAAUAAGGAAUGAA